GAGGUCGGCCGCCCCUCCCGGUCGGUUUCCGAGAGGCCGCUCGUACCGAGUCAGUUCUUCGGUCCCUCAGUGCGCUCUAGUGUCGCGGAGUAUAGCCGGCUCGGUCUCUGCACCCUCAGACCUCGGUCUGUAGUUUCUGUGGUCGGCAGUGAGCGGUGUUUCAGCGAUUUUAGGUAUAUUGUGUGGAGAGCUCACCGACCGUG